rnacentral:lncRNA from 1 species
AGUGGGAAAUAGAAAUCCUAACGUGACAAAUGGAUUUCUAGUGAGUGCACGGUUCCAUCGAUGCUAUGUACCUCAUCUAACAGUUAUUGGUAACAUACACACCAAUGCAUAGAUAACUCUUUACCUAGAUGCUUCUCUAAGCAUGUUGCAGCAAUUUGGACUCUAAGUCAUAUGGGCUCACCUAAUAGUUAUUGACCAUACUCC